rnacentral:lncRNA from 1 species
CAAUUCAACUUUGUUUUUAAGUUUUAUUUUUAAAUAAUUACAUUACUUUUAUGUGCCCACAGAAGCGCAAGGCAGCUCUUAGGAAGACAGUUGGAUUUAUUGACGAUGGAGAUGUUACAGAAAGUGAAGGCCAAAUCUCUUAGAAAUUGAAUAAGUAAUAAUAAAUAAACUCAAAUAAUAGAUUCAGAUUUUUAGGAGCACCGCACAAUAACUUUGAAGUCAUAUAGUUUCCCUUUAAUUUUGGCUAUUUAAUUUAUUAUCCAUCCUUUGUUUUUCUAUUGCUGAGCUCCCGGC